UACAGAGGGUGCGAGCGUUAAUCGGAAUUAUUGGGCGUAAAGCGUCCGUAGGUGGCUAGUCAAGUCUGCGGUCAAAGACUGGGGCUUAACCCUGGAAAGGCCGUGGAAACUGACGAGCUAGAGUGCAGUAGGGGUAGAGGGAAUUCCCGGUGUAGCGGUGAAAUGCGUAGAGCUCGGGAAGAACAUCGGUGGCGAAAGCGCUCUACUGGACUGCAACUGACACUCAGGGACGAAAGCUAGGGGAGCGAACGGG
rnacentral:rRNA from 1 species